rnacentral:misc_RNA from 1 species
GAGAGAAAGAGAGGUGUAUUAGUAAAUUGAGAAAUUCUUAUUAAGUUGAAACUUAUUUGUGGAGAAGCUCUAUCUUCAUUCAGGGAUACGGAGAAUUUCCAUCGCUUUGCUUUAUCAGUUUCUCCAUUAAAACUAACUUGUUAUUAGUUCUAAUAAACUUCUAUGCCUUUCUAAUGGUAUGUUUUGAGAGGCAAGAACCACCAAAAAAAAAAUGAUGUUGAGAUUCUUGAUGAAUGCUUGCAUAAGAGCUUCUUUAUGAUAGGGCACUCAUUUUAGAAUUUGGAAUUGUUCUUUCAGGAUUUAGCAUCUAUUUGAUGCAUGAUUAUGUGAAUUUUCUUUAAAAAAAAAGGAAUAUAGGCAGCCACCUAUGAUGGUUAAGCUCAGGGCAGUACAAUAUAUGCUUUUAUUAAUUACAACUAUGAACAUCAGGUUUUAGGGACUUAUAUGUCAUUCCAUGGUUAUAAAAUUUUUAUGUUCAAGUGGAUGAAAAUUCAGCUCACUAGAAGCAUUUGCAAGUCUUUAGCUGUUGUUAGUUGCUAAAAUUUUGUAACUCAAUACUCAUACGGUGCUUCUAGUGAUGUCAUUUAGAUACAGUCAAUGAAUGCAUUUUACCUUCAUAUUGCUUUCGAACCAUGUUAUAUUAAUCAAUACUGCAUAAUAGAUCAAGCUUAUUUUGGCAUCCCUCGAGCUUUCAUAAUCAUGGUUAAUUGCUAGUUACAGGAUCUUGUUAUUGGUGAUGGAUAACCUUAAUUGCAGUGCUUCCAACACAAAUUAGCUUAUGAAUAGGAGGAAAAAAGAAAAAAAAGAAUUAGUUCAUUCAUUAUAUUCAUCUUGUCUAUACUACCUAGUUCUUACAACACAGAUUUUUUGCUGUUGUGAAAUAAAACAGAGAUUGGGCUAGGAUUGACAGGAU